rnacentral:rRNA from 1 species
UUCCGGUUGAUCCCGCCGGACCCCACUGCUAUCGAGGUGGGACUUAGCCAGGCCAGUCGAACGACUCGGACUAUGGCGAGAAGUGGCAAACUGCUCAGUAACACGUAGCUAACCUACCCUCAGGACGGAGACAACCCCGGGAAACUGGGGUUAAUCCCCGAUAGGCGUGGAUUCCUGGAAUGGUGUCACGCCGAAACGUUAACACACCAUGUUUGUGUACACGCCUGAGGAUGGGGCUGCGGCCGAUCAGGCAGUUGGUGAGGUAACGGCUCACCAAACCUUUGACCGGUACGGGCCGUGAGAGCGGUAGCCCGGAGAUGGACACUGAGACAAGGGUCCAGGACCUACGGGUCGCAGCCGGUACGAAACCUCCACAAUGCACGCAAGUGCGAUGGGGUUACCUCGAGUGCCGCCUGAAGAAGGCGGCUUUUCCAUUGUGUAAUGAGCCGUGGGAAUAAGGGGGGGGCAAGACUGGUGUCAGCCGCCGCGGUAACACCAGCCCCCCGAGUGGUGGGGAUGUUUAUUUGGCCUAAAACGUCCGUAGCCAGCUCGGUAAAUCUCUCGUUAAAUCCAGCGUCCUAAGCGUUGGGCUGCGAGAGAGGCUGCCAAGCUAGAGGGUGGGAGAGGUCAGCGGUAUUUCUGGGGUAGGGGCGAAAUCCAUUGAUCCCAGGAGGACCACCAGUGGCGAAGGCUGCUGACUAGAACACGCCUGACGGUGAGGGACGAAAGCUGGGGUAGCGAAUCGGAUUAGAUACCCGAGUAGUCCCAGCCGUAAACGAUGCAGGCUAGGUGUUGGGUUGGCCACGUGCCGACUCAGUGCCACAGGGAAGCCAUUAAGCCUGCUGCCUGGGGAGUACGGUCGCAAGGCUGAAACUUAAAGGAAUUGGCGGGAGAGCACCACCAGGCGUGAAGCCUGCGGUUUAAUUGGAUUCAACGCCGGG